GAGAGAAGGAGAGAUGGAAAGAUAGAGAGGAGUGAGGGAGAUAAAGGUGCAGUUAAUUAAUUAUGGUAAUUUCAUUAUUACAUUUCGGUUACCAUAGUAACUAUAGAGGUUAAAUCAAAUCUUAAUACAAGGCUUAAAGUGGAACUGGCAGCGUUUUAAUUACUUUGCAGAUAUGAAACGAAACAGACAAUCAUAAAAUCAGUAAAAAAUAUAAAAUUCCCAGUUUAUUCUUCAAAACCAACUUUAUAAGAGGUUUUAAAAAUAGGUUCUAUUUGACCCCCCAAAAAUUAUUGAAGUAUGGUAAGGCAUUGUUGGCAGAAUAGAUUGAUGCAGUUCAAUGCAUGAAUAAUAUAAUUCACCAAUCCAUUUCUUGGUAGUCCAAAAAAUAUUGCAGUCAGGUUGUAAAUCACAGAUGGCCUUUUACAUUGUUUGCUGCUUCCACCCAUUCAGAUGCACUGUUUCAGUUUCAAUGACUUCAUAUUUUGGACUAAAACGGACAAAUGUAACUAAGGCUGGGAACAUCAAUACAAUCAAAAGAUCAAGGGCAACGAUCACAAGUUAAUCAUAACGUGGCUAAUAAGCUAGUGCACGUGUCAAACACAAGCGCUUACAUCGGUGAAUUCAACUUCAAUUGCGCUGCUUUCGUGUGUCCAGUUUACAGUGUGCAGUUGAGGGAAAGUGAACAGACACAUGUCACAUUCCUAGCUAGACUAUUAAAAUAUUGCAGUCUGGCUUUGGUUUUUAAAGCUCGACAAUGAAUAACCAAAUAACAAAACCUGCAAAAAAAACACCAUCCAAAGGACAAACAUGUAGGUCUAUUCUAGAAACAUUUGAGCAGUAGUCUAGGCUGGCUACUCAACGACGACACACGUUGAGAGCACCACACAGCAAUGGAGCAUUCAACCGCAACGGUGAUCCAUGCCGUGCAGAAAAAAUGAAAACAUGUUUUAAGUUUGAACGUUACAACAACCUAUUGCUUCGUUUUUGUUAUUUGGAGUUAAAUACUUUUUUUUAUUAGGGUCGCACCAUAUUAUGCACAUCUGCAAGCAUAGCAGCAAAGGCUGAACAAACAUGAUUUGUUUUAAUAUGUUAAAAUGCUAUAUACAGCAUCAUAUGUACAUAGGUGUACUGAGUGAGUUUGACACCCCUGGGAUAGUGUAUCUAUUUAUGUAGCUAUUUAUUUAGCAACCUAAAAACAUGGAGCCUAACAUUAGCUAGGUAGCUAGCUGCUGGGAGAAUGUCAUGUCAUUGGAGAGUGGGUGAGUGACCGACUUUUUCCCCUCAUAUUGUUUUUUGGUAGCUACAGCUAGAGAUGCAGGUUAGCUAGCAUGAAAUGUGAAUCGUUUUGAUAGCUUGCUAUGCUGAACUUGAACAACUAUUAUCCACAGUUAGCAUAUCUCUUAUUUGUCAAUCAAAUGUAUUUGGCAUGGAUCAAAUGGAUGGGCGGGCAGGCAAGUUCCCAUUCAGUUGUCUGCAAACUGCAGAAGGACGAGCAGGCUACUAUUCCCCAUCGUUUAUCAGUGCAAUUUUGACAGACAACUAGUUGAAGCAGUUUGAGGGGGUUUAUCUAAUGUUCCCUCGUUAGAUCAUCUUACUCUGGCUAGUAUUAGUUGUUGAUCUUGGUGUUGUUGAUGUGCAUAGGUAACAGAGGGGGAGAGAGCCUACCUUUUCAUGGUUGUUUGAUCGAAUAGGACUGAAGAUCCCAAAUGUAGUAGGACUCCUGUGUUAUUUACAUAAUUGCAGAAAUCCAUUCAGGUGUAUUUUCUGGCUUUUGGUGAAUGUGUUCUAAUGAUCUAAAGUCACGCUGUUGCUACUGCCUGUAAACACACAGUCCAGUUCAAAGUGAAUGAUGGCAGGUCCUACUGCCUGUAAACACACAGUCCAGUUCAAAGUGAAUGAUGGCAGGUCCUACUGCCUGUAAACACACAGUCCAGUUCAAAGUGAAUGAUGGCAGGUCCUACUGCCUGUAAACACACAGUCCAGUUCAUAGUGAAUGAUGGCAGGUCCUACUGCCUGUAAACACACAGUCCAGUUCAUAGUGAAUGAUGACAGGCCCUACUGCCUGUAAACACACAGUCCAGUUCAAAGUGAAUGAUGGCAGGUCCUACUGCCUGUAAACACACAGUCCAGUUCAUAGUGCCUGUAAACACACAGUCCAGUUCAUAGUGAAUGAUGACAGGCCCUACUGCCUGUAAACACACAGUCCAGUUCAUAGUGAAUGAUGGCAGUUCCUACUGCCUGUAAACACACAGUCCAGUUCAAAGUGAAUGAUGGCAGGUCCUACUGCCUGUAAACACACAGUCCAGUUCAAAGUGAAUGAUGGCAGGUCCUACUGCCUGUAAACACACAGUCCAGUUCAAAGUGAAUGAUGGCAGGUCCUACUGCCUGUAAACACACAGUCCAGUUCAAAGUGAAUGAUGGCAGGUCCUACUGCCUGUAAACACACAGUCCAGUUCAAAGUGAAUGAUGGCAGGUCCUACUGCCUGUAAACACACAGUCCAGUUCAAAGUGAAUGAUGGCAGGUCCUACUGCCUGUAAACACACAGUCCAGUUCAAAGUGAAUGAUGGCAGGUCCUACUGCCUGUAAACACACAGUCCAGUUCAAAGUGAAUGACGGCAGGUCCUACUGCCUGUAAACACACAGUCCAGUUCAAAGUGAAUGAUGGUAGGCCCUACUGCCUGUAAACACAGUCCAGUUCAAAGUGAAUGAUGGCAGGUACUACUGCCUGUAAACACACAGUCCAGUUCAAAGUGAAUGAUGGCAGGUCCUACUGCCUGUAAACACACAGUCCAGUUCAAAGUGAAUGAUGGCAGGUCCUACUGCCUGUAAACACACAGUCCAGUUCAAAGUGAAUGAUGGCAGGUCCUACUGCCUGUAAACACACAGUCCAGUUCAUAGUGAAUGAUGGCAGGUCCUACUGCCUGUAAACACACAGUCCAGUUCAUAGUGCCUGUAAACACACAGUCCAGUUCAUAGUGAAUGAUGACAGGCCCUACUGCCUGUAAACACACAGUCCAGUUCAUAGUGAAUGAUGGCAGGUCCUACUGCCUGUAAACACACAGUCCAGUUCAAAGUGAAUGAUGGCAGGUCCUACUGCCUGUAAACACACAGUCCAGUUCAAAGUGAAUGAUGGCAGGUCCUACUGCCUGUAAACACACAGUCCAGUUCAAAGUGAAUGAUGGCAGGUCCUACUGCCUGUAAACACACAGUCCAGUUCAAAGUGAAUGAUGGCAGGUCCUACUGCCUGUAAACACACAGUCCAGUUCAAAGUGAAUGAUGGCAGGUCCUACUGCCUGUAAACACACAGUCCAGUUCAAAGUGAAUGAUGGCAGGUCCUACUGCCUGUAAACACACAGUCCAGUUCAUAGUGAAUGAUGGCAGGCCCUACUGCCUGUAAACACACAGUCCAGUUCAUAGUGAAUGAUGGCAGGUCCUACUGCCUGUAAACACACAGUCCAGUUCAAAGUGAAUGAUGGCAGGUCCUACUGCCUGUAAACACACAGUCCAGUUCAAAGUGAAUGAUGGCAGGUCCUACUGCCUGUAAACACACAGUCCAGUUCAAAGUGAAUGAUGGCAGGUCCUACUGCCUGUAAACACACAGUCCAGUUCAAAGUGAAUGAUGGCAGGUCCUACUGCCUGUAAACACACAGUCCAGUUCAAAGUGAAUGAUGGCAGGUCCUACUGCCUGUAAACACACAGUCCAGUUCAAAGUGAAUGAUGGCAGGUCCUACUGCCUGUAAACACACAGUCCAGUUCAAAGUGAAUGAUGGCAGGUCCUACUGCCUGUAAACACACAGUCCAGUUCAAAGUGAAUGAUGGCAGGUCCUACUGCCUGUAAACACACAGUCCAGUUCAUAGUGAAUGAUGGCAGGUCCUACUGCCUGUAAACACACAGUCCAGUUCAUAGUGAAUGAUGACAGGCCCUACUGCCUGUAAACACACAGUCCAGUUCAAAGUGAAUGAUGGCAGGUCCUACUGCCUGUAAACACACAGUCCAGUUCAUAGUGCCUGUAAACACACAGUCCAGUUCAUAGUGAAUGAUGACAGGCCCUACUGCCUGUAAAACACACAGUCCAGUUCAUAGUGAAUGAUGGCAGGUCCUACUGCCUGUAAACACACAGUCCAGUUCAAAGUGAAUGAUGGCAGGUCCUACUGCCUGUAAACACACAGUCCAGUUCAAAGUGAAUGAUGGCAGGUCCUACUGCCUGUAAACACACAGUCCAGUUCAAAGUGAAUGAUGGCAGGUCCUACUGCCUGUAAACACACAGUCCAGUUCAAAGUGAAUGAUGGCAGGUCCUACUGCCUGUAAACACACAGUCCAGUUCAAAGUGAAUGAUGGCAGGUCCUACUGCCUGUAAACACACAGUCCAGUUCAAAGUGAAUGAUGGCAGGUCCUACUGCCUGUAAACACACAGUCCAGUUCAAAGUGAAUGAUGGCAGGUCCUACUGCCUGUAAACACACAGUCCAGUUCAAAGUGAAUGAUGGCAGGUCCUACUGCCUGUAAACACACAGUCCAGUUCAAAGUGAAUGAUGGCAGGUCCUACUGCCUGGAAACACACAGUCCAGUUCAAAGUGAAUGAUGGCAGGUCCUACUGCCUGUAAACAAACAGUCCAGU